ACAACCACAAUGACGUGGUUUUCCGCCUCCGAGCCCUUUGACGAAACCCUUGGCCAUUCUCCGACGUCGUCCUCAGCUCUCUUCCUUCCGCCGACUCUGACAGAUCGCUUUCUUUCCCUUCCAACUCGCUCCGGUUCUUGCCGCUGCACGAGAGAACUUCACCUUCAACUUCUUCCAUCAAAUAGCUGCCAUCAGAGUGGGUAUAAAAUGGUGGAGAUCGAAUCAAACUCGUCUCCACCGCCCUUUAACCCAGUUCCUUCAAAUCUUCCAAACCCCACACCCUAACUGCCGAAGUUGCCAUGGUUGCUUGGCCGGAGUAAUGGAAGAACUGUCGGUUGUGGCGGCGGCCUUGACGGAUAAGCCGUGGUUUCGGAGGGGGGCAAACUCGUAGGCGGAGUCAGAAGGAUUAAGUCUUGGUCGUGAUCUUGAAUUGUUGAAUGUGGAGAAACGAAUUGGAUAGGAAAAGGAGCGAAGGGAUUUAGAUCUUGAUUGAAUUCGAGGAGAAGAGAAUUGAAGUUAACUGAAGAGAAGUGAAUUGUUGACCAUCGCUCCACUCUUCGACUCCUUCUCUCUCUCUAUCUGUUCAAAUGCAAAUUUGAACUAAAAUUGGGAGUGCGUUUUGCUCAGAUUUUGGUGACUUAGAUUGGUUAUGGUAUUGGUCUUAGGAAGUGAUUUUCUGAGCAAGAGGAUGAGUUGCAAUUUUCAGCUUCAAAUCGUGUCUUACUGCUUCCUAUUUCUUGGAGCUAGAAUGAUCUUGAGGCCGGGUUGAGGAUCGAGGCGGGUCUGAGGUCUGAUCUGGUGAAUGAAGGAUUGGUGCGGAACAGAAGACCUGGCCGGAGUUGAAGUGCUGAUGCCGGUGAAGUAGUCCUUGACCAGAAAUUUCGUGGAGCAGGAAGAAGAAGAGAUACAAAAAUAAAAAAUAAAAUAAAACAAAAGAAAAAGCAAAAAGCAAAAAAAAAUAAUAAUAAUAAAUUAAAAAAAAAAAAAAAGUAAGUGAGGGCAUCAUUGACAUUUUAGUGCGGAAUGAUUGCCACGUCAAGAAUUUAACGGAGGUUUUGGACGGAGAGUAACGGAAGGGACCUAUUGGUUCAAAAUUUGAGUGUACAAGGACUAAACGUGUGAAAUUAGAAGGCCAGGGACUAAAGUGUUUUUUGGGCAAAAAUUCAGGGACUAAACAGUAUUUAAUCCAACUUACAAAUAGAUUACUUUCCAGUUUUAACCAUAU